UGGUCUUAGCUUGCUAAGGCCGAUGGCGACCGGCGCACGGGUGAGUAACGCGUAUCCCCUUGACGUACGCUCUUGGACAGCCUUCUGAAAGGGAGAUUACUUCAAGAUGUUAUCAUGAGUAAGCAUUUUCGCAUGAUUAAAAGCUUACCGGUGUAAGAUGGGGAUGCGUUCCAUUAGAUAGUAGGCGGGGUAACGGCCCACCUAGUCUUCGAUGGAUAGGGGUUCUGAGAGGAAGGUCCCCCACAUUGGAACUGAGACACGGUCCAAACUCCUACGGGAGGCAGCAGUGAGGAAUAUUGGUCAAUGGACGAGAGUCUGAACCAGCCAAGUAGCGUGAAGGAUGAAGGUUCUAUGGAUUGUAAACUUCUUUUAUACGGGAAUAAACGAAUCCACGCGUGGAUUUUUGCAUGUACCGUAUGAAUAAGGAUCGGCUAACUCCGUGCCAGCAGCCGCGGUAAUACGGAGGAUCCGAGCGUUAUCCGGAUUUAUUGGGUUUAAAGGGAGCGUAGAUGGGUUGUUAAGUCAGUUGUGAAAGUUUGCGGCUCAACCGUAAAAUUGCAAUUGAUACUGGCAGUCUUGAGUACAGUUGAGGUAGGCGGAAUUCGUGGUGUAGCGGUGAAAUGCUUAGAUAUCACGAAGAACUCCGAUUG
rnacentral:rRNA from 1 species